AUUGCUUCUCGGCCUUUUGGCUAAGAUCAAGUGUAGUUUAAAUGUAUUAUUGGAUUCAGUUUGCUACUAUUUUGUUGAGUACUUUUGCAUUUAUGUUCAUCAGAGAUAUUGGCC
ensembl:snRNA U2 U2 spliceosomal RNA